AUUGAACGCUGGCGGCAGGCCUAACACAUGCAAGUCGAACGAGUGGCGGACGGGUGAGUAAGGUCUGGGAAACUGCCCGAUGGAGGGGGAUAACUACUGGAAACGGUAGCUAAUACCGCAUACCAUCGGAUGUGCCCAGAUGGGAUUAGCUAGUAGGUGGGGUAACGGCUCACCUAGGCGACGAUCCCUAGCUGGUCUGAGAGGAUGACCAGCCACACUGGAACUGAGACACGGUCCAGACUCCUACGGGAGGCAGCAGUGGGGAAUAUUGCACAAUGGGCGCAAGUCUGAGGCAGCCUUGCGGUGUGUAUGAAGAGGGCCUUCGGGUUGUAAAGUACUUUCAGCGAGGAGGCGUUACUGGCAGAAGAAGCACCGGCUAAAUCAGUGCCAGCAGCCGCGGUAAAA
rnacentral:rRNA from 1 species